UACGGGGGGGGGGCAAGCGUUGUUCGGAAUUACUGGGCGUAAAGGGCUCGUAGGCGGCCAACUAAGUCAGACGUGAAAUCCCUCGGCUUAACCGGGGAACUGCAUCUGAUACUGGAUGGCUUGAGUUCGGGAGAGGGAUGCGGAAUUCCAGGUGUAGCGGUGAAAUGCGUAGAUAUCGGAAGGAACAUCAGUGGCGAAAGCGACUGCCUGGCCCAAUACUGACGCUCAUGUGCGAAAGCGUGGGGAGCAAACAGGG
rnacentral:rRNA from 1 species